GUAGGUGAACCUGCGGAGGGAUCAUUACAAGAACGCCCGGGCUUCGGCCUGGUUAUUCAUAACCCUUUGUUGUCCGACUCUGUUGCCUCCGGGGCGACCCUGCCUUCGGGCGGGGGCUCCGGGUGGACACUUCAAACUCUUGCGUAACUUUGCAGUCUGAGUAAAAAUAUAAAUUAUUUAAAACUUUCAACAACGGAUCUCUUGGUUCCG
rnacentral:misc_RNA from 1 species